CCUAUUCCUCCUCUUUUUCCUCCCUCCAUGUCGGCUUCCUCGCCGCUUGCUCGCAGCUCAAACAAAUCAAUCCCUAUUCAUCGCCACAGACAAACAGCUCCACCAAAACUCUUAUCCACCUCCCCAUGGCUUUCCGCCGGAGGAGGACCGGAGAAGAAUCCCGGACCGUCUUGCCCUCAAUGGCCUCCGGCCCCGCCGACGACAACGAGGACCACUUCGAGGAGUACAACUCCCAUCCUUGCCUGGGUGGUUACGACAUUGCCUCACCUACGGCGCGCCCCACCCGCCCUGACCUGCCGUAUGCUACCUCUCUCCUCCCUUACUUCUCUUCCUCCGCCGCCACAUCCGCCCCUCUCCGAGGAGGUCAAGCCCGCUCCCCAUCCCUGCUGCCUGCCCGUGCCGGCGCCGGCGCCGGCGCCGGAACCGGAGCGCGUCCCUCGUUACGACUACGGAGCACAGGGAAGCUACGAGCCGGAACCCUACUUCCUGGAUGUCUUCAGGUCCUGGCUCUUUUGGGAGGAGGGGCAUUCGAACCCGUGGAGGCGGCGGGCUUUGGAUUACCUCUUGGGGCAUGCUUAGGGGUAUGGCGAUAGAAGGAUUGGGGUCGAUAGCUAGGGCAUUCCUAUCUACGCUAACAAAAGGGAGGACAGUCAGGGAUUUCGGUGCAAGUUGAACCGUCACCGGCUCAAAGAUCGGAUUUUUAUGAUGUCUACAGCGAUAAAGCUGACGAGAGUGUGAGUAGUGGAUCGAGUUGUGAUCUUUUUGGAGUAAUUUGAUGGAAUGGUUAGUGCUAUGGUGUUUGAUUAUGGUGAUUUCUUGAUUUGGAUGUCCAUAGUGGUCUUCGUGGUAUGGUGAGAGGAGGGAGGAGGCCUGUGGUUAUGUGAAUCCAUCCUGUGCCAAUGAUAGGCACCACUAUGAGCAGCCUCUUUCCAUUCAAGUGAGUCCAACUCAGCAAGGGUCUUCGAAGAGCAAGAGCAUCAUGAUCAGGUGAAUGCCAACAUUACCUCUAUAUUUUACGACGCCAUUUAUUGUACUUGCUUGUUGGUAUAGUCCGGUGCUUCUGGAAGUUAAUGUUGUUUUUGCUCAAUUUCUAUAAUUGUGCCUUUUGGAUAUAGUAUAAGUCAUCGUAUGAUGAGCAGAAUUAUGUGACUAAUUUAUUUGGGAGCCGAGCUAUGGUUAUGAGAGGCACCACCAUGAGCAGCUGCUACAUGUUAGGUUGAGCUAAUUGAGCAAACUGGGUCUCGGAAAUUGAGUUAUCAUGAUAACUACCAGGAAUCGGCAUCUCCUAAGUCCAAAUGGGUGAGUAUGUGGUCUUCUCUGUGGAUCUUUUGUGGUUCAAUUGUGCAACGCUUGUUUGUGUAAUUUUCGUAUAUGUUGUUGUGCAAAUAAAUCAAUCUUGCUUGUAUUCUGUCCAUCCUAUGCUGUUUCAUGAAUAGUAUUCUUCAUCUUGUAAUGAACAAAAGGAGGAGGACAAUACAUUUCGAGAUCCAAACUGUGCAAAUGGUAGGCAGGACAUGGGUUGUGUUGUUUGCAUGAAAGAAGGAUUCACCUUCCUUCACACGAAUCCACCAAUGGAUCGCGCAAUGGCCGCUUCAACAUCCAUGCAGAUAGAUGAAUAGAGUUUGGAGUGCUUUGAGAUCUGUGCGGAGCGAUCCAAUGGCCGACAUUGUGAAAGAUUAAUCAUUCUUUUGUGUGAAAGAUACAACCCAAACUUAUAGAAGGCAUUCCUAUGAGCAGGCCUGUUGUGAUCAGCUUGAGCCUUUCAAGCCAGCUGGGUGAGCAUGGAACCUUGACUAGCUGAGCUACUAUUAUAUGCUUAUUUUAUACGUUUUAUGGUGUACACUUUGACCCUUAUUGAUUUAAAUUCAACCUCCAAGAUGCUUUCGACUUUGUUUUAGUCUUACACUUUACAUUGCAAGUCUGGUGAUAUUAACCAUGUUUACUCUGAUAUUAUUUACAGCUACGUUGAAUAGGAUUACAUGUUCUUGUUAAGUUAAGAAGAAGAAGAAUUGUGUUUCCAUUGCAUUAAUUCACACCACCCAAGUUCCUUCUUGCAAGAUUUUCCCCAUGUGUAAAUUGUUAUAAUUUAUUUCAGUCAGCAUUCUUUCUUAACUGAAUUGCUCUAAUAUUUGAGUUACUGUGAGAUUUGCUUGGAACAGCACUCACAAACGCAACUUGGGCGAAAAGACAGCCUUGCCUUGUGAAGCUUAUUUGAUUGCCAUUUGUACAUGUUUGUUGGCAAAAUUUGGUGUAUUAUGCAAAGCAAAUAAAUUAUGCUGGUCUUGGUCAUCAUCCUUUUUCAUUUUGGUUAUUUGCAUGUAGCAUUCUUUGUUGUUUGGUGAACAAGGGCAUGAGGAAAAUAUCUUUGAAAAUUGCAACAAUGUUAAUGAAAGGCACUACCAUGAGGACCCCCUAUGUGCUCAGCUUGAGCCUUUCAAGCCAGCAUGGUCCCGGAAUCCAAGCAAUUAUGAGGUGUACGAGAAAGAAGUGACUCUAAAGUCUAACUGGGUGAGUAUCCAAUGUCAACACUCCAUGCAAUAUGCCUCAGAAUUGAGUGAUCCAGUUUAUGUUUAACUGUGUUCCGACCCUUAGUAAAUCUUCAAUCAUCAUGAAGUUCCUUCCAUCUAUGCACUACCUUGUUAUCAUGCGGUAGACAAGCCUUGUCCUUGUUAAUUAUGAUGAACAAUUGACUUUGAAACAUUGCCCUUAGUGAGUUACUUAAAGAAAAGAAGUUUUGUAUUGCUGCAUUAUCUUGUAAUUAACAUUUGUCUUUGGAGAUAAAUUUUUUCUUCUGUUGGACCUAUGUAAGAUCCAAUUUACAUCACGUUAUUAAUUUAAAAUUUCACCCUAAGCAACAUUGACUUAAAACUUCUUCCUGAGUAGCAAAGGUUAGAACACAGAUAAUUUAGACCUGAAACACUAAGAAAUAAAUGAUCUGGCUUAUACAGAAAUCUUAUUUUCCUGACAAAAUAAAUGCGACCCCUUGAGUUGGCUUGCAAAUGAGAGCCUAUGUGCAACUGCUUUGUACAUUAAUGGACGAGAUGCCAAUGUUUCUAAUUUUGAAUGCGAAUUUUUCAGUCUUUCUUGAAGGAAAACAGAUUACUUCACAGAGACCCUUGGAUUGAGAUAAAGAGGGAUGCUGAAGGAAGACUAAUUGCAAUAAUCAUCACAUGGUGAUAGGCUGGGCUUGCUUUCUAUGAGCUCAUUAGAGCAUCUCCUGCCAAAAAGAAGUUCUGCACCCAUCUCUAAUUGAUCAAGUUGGUUAUCUUUUUCCUUUGUUCUCUUGAUAAAUUUGUGCUGCAUGUGUUCUUUGUUAUUUUGUUUUGCUUCAUAGUUGCAUUAUGUGUAGAUCAAGGUGUUUUUUGAAACUAAUUUAUUUUAAACUAGAUCGAGGAUUACGACUUUACAGGCAAUGAUUUUGUGUCAGUCUGCAUCAUAUACCCAAUUGUACGAUACAUCGCAUGGCACAUGCUUUCUGGGAUAAUAUGAGGGUUGCUUAUUGGACUAUCGGUGCUCACUCAUAUUAGCUUGCACCAUGGUGUAUUGUAGAUUUGUAGCAUACUGUUCUACUAGCUGAUGUUGGUUUUUGUUGAGCUGAACUGGAUGUUAGCACAAUCUGACCUACCAGAAUUUGAUUAUUUCAUUCAGGUGACUUUGUUGAUUAUUCACUCUCUGGAAACUUCAAAAUCUCUUUCAAGCUUUUGCUUAUUUAAUCCAGCAUGAUGUGAAUUUAUCUUGUACGGUAGUUAGAUGUGUCAAAGUAUAAGACAUGUGUAGGAGUUGUUUGUCAAUAAUCAACACACAUCUUUGGUAUUGCUAGCGAUGCUUGAUUUGUUUAGUUGAGUAAUGGUAGUGUUUAAGUUCUUUUUGUCAAAAAAAAUGUUUAAGUUCUGACUACAUGCCCUACUUCCUAAAUGCAAACAAGAGAGUUUCCCUUGUGCAUCUUAGCUGCUUGUUACAUUAUUUAGAUGUUAUUAAAUCUGUGUGAUAUGUGCUAAUACAAUAUGCACAUCAUGUUGGCCUUUGAGUUCUUUACUGGAAUGGGCAUGAUGUGUGAUACAAUAAUCCUUGUGAGACUGAAGAGGGAUUAGUAAACUGGUCAAAGUUGCUAGACAUGGUCAACCAUAUUCAUAAAAUUUAUGGUGAAACAUUAUUCAUUAAAGUGAUUCAGAAGUUUUCUUGCUAAUUCCAGUUCCUAAAUGUGAGAGAAAAUAUGUUGCUAUUUUUUUUGCUUUCAGUUAGGUGCAAUCAAAGGCCUGAACUAGCAUCCUACUUGGCUUACUAUUCUUUUGCAUUCUAAAGCCCAUUUAUGCAACAUGCAGCCUUCAUGCUACCCCCACCUCAUCCCUAAGUACCUCUUCCCUCUUCAAUAUAGAGUCAGAAUGAUUUUGAAAGGUUAUUAUCCAAUUUAUUAUAUUUCUAACUGAUAAACUGAUUGUUAAUGGCAUGAUCCCCGUUGGCUUACGCAACUUGUAGAUGAAGACCAUGGAUAGACAUCAGGGACAUAGAGAAAGCCUUGAUAGAUGAUGAUCUGAAAUCAGUUGCCUCGAAAGACAAUAUAUUGAAUGUGCAGAUAAAUAGGAAAAUGGUUGAUUUCCAUUGUGAGAUUCUUAAAAGUGAUUAUAUUCUUUAUCUUGGAUCUACAUGUUGAAACAAGCCAACAGAAGCAGCGCAAGGUUGUUGCUUGGGAUAAUUGCUUCAGUUAUAGUUUGAGCUGCUGCAUGUUGGUGAUACUUGAUGUGAGCUUUUCAUAAGAUGCAAGAAUAUUGUGCACUAGAUGAAUGUGAUGGGAAUGCUGAGAUGGACUUGUGAUAAAGUUAGAAAGGGAAGUUAGAAAGUAGUGUAGCUUAGGAUGGUGCUUGUACAAUCAUGUGUGAUUAGGUCUUAAGGAGGGCCAUGUUCGGGGUCUUUUGAAUUUAACCAAGAUAUGUAUGGGUUUAAAAUAGGAGGGGAUGAUCAGAAAGAAAUCUGUUCGCAUGCUGGUAGAUGGGAUUUUAGAAAGAUGGUUAUAGACAGGUGGCAGCCCUUAGAUGCAAUGAUGUUUAAAAUGACGUGUAGGCAUGACUAUAACAAGGUCGACCAGUAUUACAGUGAUUUCUUUCUAAGAGAAAAGAUGGGGAUCCCAUCAAAUUCGUUAAGAGAAUGAAUUAAGAAAAUACAAAGUGACUGGAGGUGGACAUAACAUAAAGCAAAACUGGACAAUUCGAAAGGAGGUGGUUGGAAAAAUGAAAGACAGAUUAGGGGCCAGUAUUAUGAUGAAGUUGCUGGAGGGGUUAAGUUGUGGAGUGAUUGCGAGAAAUGCUUUAUAAGGCAAGAACAAGGCUCCAAACUCUAGAAGAACAUAAAUAUGAUAUCGUUGAGAUGGACAUGUGAUAAAUUGAGGAAGGAUGAAGCUAGAAUAGUGUAUUAUAGGAAACCCUGGGGACAAAGAUGGAGAAAAUGUCGAUGUGGCAGGUUCAUUUUGAUGAUUUACGUAGAAUAAUUAUGACCUUCAGAACAUUUGACCAUACUGCCGAUGCAAUUCAUGGACAGCCUCAAUUAGUUAUAUGUCCUUGUUAUAGGUGCAAAGCUUAUCUCUGGGUUUAUAUUUUUCAUCUCUGAGUGCCUUUCUUGAUGCUUUAAAUUACUAUUUAUCACAAAAUUGUCAUUAUCUUGUCAUCCUAGCUAAUAUUUCGGAAACAAGGUUGUUAUAUUUUUCAAAUUUCAUGUCAGUUAUUUAAAAUGUAGUCAUUUUAUUCCUGAAUCCAUUUAUUUUCCUCUAACUUAUCAGAUCUACAGGAUAACAGCUCUGAGAAAAAUGGAAUCCAGUUCUUUUUCCCCUUCAAGAAGUAAUCAGACUAUGAUGAGUAAUGUCUACCUCAUUGUACUUAUCUUGAUAAUAUUUACAAUGAUGAACAACGUCUGCCUUGCUCUGCUCUUUUGCGGAAAUGCACAUAAGCUUUAACAAUAACAUGAUAUUGUAUUCCUGCACUGAAGCAAUUUGUGGUCUAGUUAGAAUGUGGUGCAAUGCUAGUUACUGUAAGUAAAUGUACAUUUGGAGCUCUUUUA